rnacentral:lncRNA from 1 species
AUGUUCCGGAUCCGGCCAUUGGUAAGAAUCAAAUGGGCCCAUGUCAGACAAGGCAUGGCUUUUAAUCUCCCUUUAUUUGCCAUGUCACCUGUCAGUGACCUUGCCUGUUGCCGGCUGCCUGGUGUUCUGCAGUUUACUGAUAAGUGUGUUUAUGCUUUUGAAGUCGUGUCUGCCGAAAAACCACAUCUGGUUCACCACCGCCUCAACAGAUACACAAUGAAAUACAAAGGCCAAUUCUGCGGUGUACACAAUCCGUGUCAGUUUACCCAGAGGAUUCCAGAUGGAAUGAACUCCGCAGACGGGGUUCACGGAGCGCAGGCGAUGCUGGGGGAGGAGCCCUCAUUGUCUCCCUUGGAAAUCGUAAGGCGAAUAUUGGUGCUGGGAGGACAUGUUGCGCUGCAGCGGUGGAGGCGGAGGCGUUUUACACGUUGUUAAGGUAGGAGUGACGGCAUCUGUAUUUAAACCUAAUAGAAAAUAUCAGCCACCGUUUCUUGAAUGUCUGCUCUAGGCCAGAGGCCGGGCUUAAGAAUUUUCUUUGCCUGGACACAGUUCUGUGAGGUCUCCGGAGGUGUGGCUCUUGAGCGUUUUAUAGAUGUGGUAAAGUGACCUUCCCCAAACUUGAGUGGCUUCGUGUUUUUGAUUGUUUACCUGUAUCUCAUUGAUGUUGAGUAUAUGCCCAGGAGUUUGUUUAUUUGUUUGUUUAUUUAUUUGCUUUUUAGGGCCACACCUUUGGAAGUUCCUGGGCUGGAGGCCGAAUGGGAGCUGCCGUGACCCGCCUGCACCAAGCCACAGCAACGCGGGACCUGAGCCGCGUCUGCAGCCUCACACCACAGCUCACAGCAACACUGGAUCCUUAACCCUCUGAGCAAGGCCAGGGAUUGAACCCGCAUCUCGAGGAUACUUGUUGGGUUCAUUACCAGUGAGCCACAACGGGAACUCCUGCCCAGUAGUUGAAUUGCCCUGUCAUACCUGGGUUUGCUGCCAGACCAUUUUCUAAAGUCCUGAUAUUAACCCAAGGAGCAGAGCCACAUUUGGGAGUACGUCUGGCUGGUGCCUGCUCUAAUAUUUUUAGACUCAGCAAUAUAUCCCAUCAAGAUGCCACGUGUAAAGAAUAGGGUCUUUCCAAGAAAACAUUGCUCCUGGCAAAUAGAGAUUUGUGGGGGGGGGGGGCGCGAUUGCUUUAUUUUGCAAACAUUUCUAUUAAUAUCUGACAACAACGUACCCACGACGUGGAUAAAUCUCAAGCAAACAGCUCAUUGAAUUUUUACAAAGUGAUUACUCCCUUGAGAGCUCCCCCCCAUCAAGGUACAGGGCAUGACUACAUUGAGAUCCUGCUGUAUAGCACAGGGAACUCUGUCUAGUCACUCAUGAUGGAAUACGAUGGAGGAUAAUGUGAGAAAAAGAAUAUGUGCGUGUGUGUGUGUGUGUGUGUGUGUGUGUGUGUGUGAGUGAUUGGGUCACUUGGCUAAACAGCAGAACUUGACAGAACAUUGCAACUAUAAUAAAAAAAAUGUAAAAAAAAAAUAAAUAAAAAUG